UUUUGAAACUACUAAGCUUGAGUAUUGUAGGGGAUAGCGGAAUUCCUAGUGUAGGGGUGAAAUUCGUAGAUAUUAGGAGGAACACCAGAGGCGAAAGCGGUUAUCUGGGCAAUCACUGACGCUGUUGCACGAAAGCGUGGGGAGCAAACAGGAUUAGAUACCCUGGUAGUCCACGCAGUAAACGAUGAGUGCUAGAUGUUGGGGUUUAAGUCUCAGUGUCGCAGCUAACGCAUUAAGCACUCCGCCUGGGGAGUACGGUCGCAAGAUUAAA
rnacentral:rRNA from 1 species